rnacentral:misc_RNA from 1 species
AAACCUCAACCUCCUUGGUUUCUUCUGGAGACCAAAGCAGGCUUGGACUUUGGAGGCCUUUGCUGGUGCCUCUCUUUUUGAAGGCCAGCUCCUCUUAAACAAAUUAGCAGGGUCCUCUUUGCUGAUCCUCGACGUGUGAUAAGAUGUUUCCAUGUCUUGGUUUCUGGCUCUGUCACUUUUGGGACCUGCUUCUAACUGUCUGGACCUUGUGUUGAGACAACGUUCGAGCGUGUGCCUCCCUUCUCGGGAAAGCUCCCUCGACCCCACGACC